UCGAGCUCGACCAACUAGCCGCCGCCAUCCGUCCCGACACCGCCCUCGUCUCUGUCAUGGCCGUCAACAAUGAGAUUGGCGUCGUCCAGCCCCUGGAGGAGAUCGAUCGCAUCUGCCACGAGAAGGUCGUUGUCUUCCACGCCGACGCCGCCCAAGCCCUUGGGAAAAUCCCCAUCGAUGUCGAGAAGAUGGGGAUCGGGCUCAUGUCGCUUAGCGGGCACAAAAUCUACGGCCCUAGGGGCGUAGGCGCCCUCUACAUUCGCCGACGUCCCCGCGUUCGGGGUGAGCCUCGGAUGAGCGACGGCGGGCAGGAGAGAGGCAUCCGGUGCGGGACCGUCCCCACCCCUCUAUCCGUCGGGAUGGGUGCCGCAUGCGAGAUCACGAAGAAGGAGAUGCAAUACGAUAGCCGUCGCAUCUCGUCGCUGUAGGCGAGGCUCUUGAAUGGCAUCAGAGCAACGAUGUGAAUGGGAGCCGUUCACGUCACUUCGGCGCGUGAUAUCAUCCGGAAGAAGACGCACUCAUUGCGCUCGUUCGUGCCAAAUCUACCCUCGUGUCGAUUCGAUGAAUCGUGGUGCCCGCUCUGUGCGGCACCCGUAUAGUUGCUUCUCGGUGGGCAAGUGGCUCAUACUGCAAGCGUGCUCAGGGCAAGCCUCUUGCGCUCCAGGUCACGGUUGCGUGAUUAGUUUCCGUUGAUCUCGUUUUGAAGGGCUUAUGGUAUCACUCCCGUCUCCUCUCCUGCAAUCUCCGAGACGAUCGGACGGUGAGGUCUCUGUAAAGAUGCCAUUUUGAAGUGGGCUUAGGCAUCGAUUUUGAGAUCACAUAACAAUGCCGUCAUCGAUUUUGUGUUCCAUUUACUUCCCUGCGUUGAAAUUUGCGGUUCCAGCGGCAAAUUUUGCUCUUUGUUCUCUUUGUCCCUGGUUACUGAAUCUGAGUUAGCAUUGGGGAGAAACGAAUCCCUAAUGCUUCCGUGUUUUUAAUAUGGCGUACAUGCCAGUGAAGUGGAAAUCGCUGCCGCCAACAGAUGGAAUCAGAAGCUUCCGGUGCUCCUGAGCAGCAAAACGGCACUCCACACCUUUAGGCGGAUAAUGUGGGUGCUUAUGGAUCAUCGGCAACUGAGUCGGAAAAUGGGAUUUACUUACUUGCAUGGCCGACAAGUGACAAAAGCCUUCCACGACCACCUAAUGCAUGGAAACUGGACAAAAGGCUCCACUCUUAGUACCAUUCUUAUGUUCUUCAGGAUACUCGCUUUGUGUCACACAGCAAUUCCUGAUCUAAACGAGGAAGCAGGUGGUUUCGCCAGUGAAGCAGCCACCAGAUGAAGGAGCAUUUCUUGUCGCAGCCAGGAAAUCUGUAAGAGGGCCCAAUCUGGCAUAUACAUUAGGCAGAAGUAUUUUUCUUCUGCGGACACUGUGGAGAGGUCAUAACUCAAUCUAUAUAUUGAAGUCAGUAAGUUAUCAUUUAUCUCUGUUGUAGACUCCUGGUGUCUUAAUCAUUUCGUGCGUUACGGGGAAUUCAAGAUUCUCAAUCUAUUGGCAUUCGACAGCUAAAGGAAGAGAAUUCUGUAAUCGUGCAUGAUGAGAGUGAGCAGGUUAUUCUUCUUUGCAAUGGUGAUGACAGGUAUGUCUGACUAACCCUGUCCGGGUGAUACUGUUUUGAUUGUUGAUGCAUCUGUAUCAUGCAAUGAAACACAUUUAUUGAUGUUCUCAAAUCAUUUAACGUAAGUGGAUUGAAUAUGGAUUUAAUUAUUUUGCAUCUUAAAUGCUUCAGCCUAUUUUUUUCUUGAGUAUUGUCAUCUUUGGUAGACUGUCAAAAAUGUGGAUGAUCGUAUGAGAGUGGCACAAGCAAGCAUCUAAAUGAAUAUGGGGAAGCAGGCUUGCAGAUAUUAGCAGUCAAUACAGGGUAUGCCUCUUUGGUCUUUCACAUAACUCAUAAUGUAUCAUUACUGAUGUGUGGAAUAUCGAUUAUGAUUACACAUGAAUGUUGUAUAGAGCACCAUUUUCUUUCCAGAUGUGCUUGCAGUUUACUUAGCAAGGUAUGAAACAAAUAUGUUUAACCAUUGUCUGAGAGUGACAAAGUUGGAUGCUUGUGGAAACUCGAGUAUUACCCAAGUUCCAACAUUUUUGAGAUGUUAGGGCCAUACUUAGCUUGGCCUGGAUGGCUGGUGAUUUCUCCAUUUCCCCCAAUUCAGAUUCCUUGAACAACUUAUUGUUGUACAGGUCCACUGGUGCUAUAAGAGGAUAGCACUUAUGGUGAGAACUAAGGAAUAAUCAACAUGUGCUUUUGCAGUUAUGAUGUUCUACGCUUUUUUCUAUCUAAAUAUUUUGGAUCAUUUUUAGAUUUGCUACUUUUUUUUAUGAAAAAGCAUUUGAGCUGACAACAUUCUACUUUGAGGCAUAUGCUGGCUUCUCAGGGCAGUCGGCAUAUGAUGACUAGCACAUUCUCCUAUUAACAUCGUUCUAGCAUAGUUGUCGGUUGACAUGGCAAUGGGAGUCUUCGAGCAGGAUGUUUCUCCUGAAGUAUGCUUGCAGCAAUUAUGCUCUUGGUUAUGUCUGAUACAAUAACAGCCACUUCAUCUGCAGCUCCCAGGAAGGGCCAAGGAAUCUGUUUACUGGUUGGUACAGGAUCAUCAGUUGGGUGUUCAAUGGUCUUUGUGCAUCCAUUGUCAUAUAUUUUGUCAACAUCAGGAUUUUCUACAAUAGGGCAUUCCGCAUAGGCAGCCAGACUGCGGAUUUGAUUGCUGCUGGAACCUCCAUGUUCACUUGCAUUUUACAUGGAUUCAGCAUCUCUUUGUGUGGGGUAGUAUCGCUAAAUUGUAUCUCUUCUUCAUUGGCUGAGGAAUGUCUUCACCAACAAUCUCCAAGAAAGACUAGCAGUUACUAGUAACUGGAAGUCCUUGGACCAGCACUCAUUUAUUGGGCUGUAACAUUUUUGGUUGUUGCAAUCUGCAAUGCUUAAUAUCUGGUCCACAUGACCUUCCAGAGGACCUUCAAUCCACUGGUCAACCAUGUGAUCCAAGAAAUCAAAUACUACAAGAAGGAUGUGGAGGGCCAGCAUAUGUGGAAGAGAGGGAAGUCUAAAGCAAGGCAGAAGAUUAUGAUUGGUUUUACCGCAAGGAUGGAUGGCAACAUCAGACAGCUAAGAAGGAAGUCUCGUAGAAAAGUAAAGGACAAACCCAGUAGACGGGCUCCCACCAAUGAGGGGCCUGGGAAGAGUCAAUAGCAACCUUACCAAUAUAUUUAGGAAGUAUCACAUGAAAGUCUCAUACCAUAUCAUUAAGCAGCAGCUUCAUGGAAAUAGUUGAGGUAUGUGUACAUCGAGCAGUAGAUUUAUACCCUGUCAUUUAUUUCAGAGCACUUGUUGCAGGCUUAAUAUGGUGCUACAUCAUCCAUAUUCAUAUAAUGCGGAGGAAAUCAACCAGAAAGCUGUAGAUUAUGCAGGAGAAAGCUAGUUUCAAGAUGACCAUUUUUUAUUAAAAGAAUAUUAUGGAUCAAGGUACCCUCUGUUUCAGUGAGCUAAUUAUCUGACAAUUUCAAUGUGCUUGUUGAUCAAAUAGUCCGAUUUCUAAUUAUAAAUUUCAACAUGAACAUCUUAGUCUCCUAGAAGUGGCCAAAGAUCUGCCUAUUUAGGCAUUCUUUUUCCCUUGUGAGAAUGAAGCGUUCUAUUUUUGGAUCACAUCUGCUGGAUUUUGACAUCAUACUUUCCCUUUUUUUUUUCCCUUUACCUUCAGUAUGUAAGCUGUUAACUCAUCUUCAUCAAAAGUAAUUCAUAACAAUUUGCACAAGCUGCUAAAAUCCUGAAGAAAUGCAUGUUGCUCAACUGACACAAACAAACAUUCUUGACCUUCGAUUCAACCUGGGAUUACUCAAAUGGCAUUGACACCCCAAGACAUGAAACCUUCAUGGAUCUGAGAUCAAUAAAUUAGUGCUAUCAUAUAAAUCUCUUGUCAUUUCAUAGCUGUUACAUAUGAAUUUAUCUCUUAUAAGCUAAUGUUAGUCCGACAUGUCUGAUCAAUGAUACUGAAGCUUGUGCUGAUCCGUUUCAAUUGUUUGACAUUGUUUAUAGUGCAAUCAUCUGACAUACUGAAUGGUAAUAGGUCAUGAAGUAAAUGCCUCCAACAUGUGACCCCAGCGGCCUGCUAACCUCAACUGCAGGUAACCAAACAUGCCCCAAUAUCUCCUCUUGCUGCAUUAUUGUUAUGCAUGCAUGCAUGCAAGCUCGACCAGCAUGGCUGAUCGGUAUCGUAGACGACGAAAAUUCACGUUCAGAGAGAAUUUUUUGCUUGUACUAAUAUGUUCCUCAAACAGUACUCAGGAUGCCCUUAUAUAAGUUCUAAAGGCAUUCUUUUGGGAACAUAACAUGUACCAAUCUUUGGAUUCCAACAAGUCACCUCCAAAUUUCUUGUACUCUUCUCUUUUUUUUUUUCUUCCUGUAUCGUCUGGACCAGUCUGCAAAAGCUGUAGAAUCUCAUAAGACAUUGCUAUCUGAAGCGUCGAAAGCCGAACUACUUUGGAUGCAUCACACGUUGUCAUUCAAAUAGAUGAUGAAUAUGAAACCAUGUAAAUUGCUGUUUAUGAUCCA